CUCAGCACCUAAGUGAUGUGACUCUCCUGUUUUGCCUGGGCCCUGCAUAUAUUUGGCACUGUGACAAAUCUCUGGAACAAAUACCCAGGGCAUGAGAGGCUCCUGCCUGGGACCUGCCCAAAAGCGGCCUUUUGGCAUAUCUCUGCAUCAAUUAACUAGCAGAUAUAACUCUUCUUUUCUGCCUAGGUUCUGCCAAAACAAGUGAUUGCGACAUAUCAUUGGACCAGCAACUAGAUGAUGUGACUCUUCUCUUCUGCCUGAGCCCUGGAUAUACUGUGUAUUGUGACACAUGGCUGAGUCCAACAUCAAGGUGAUGUGACUGACCACUUCUGCCUGGGCCAUGCUGAAAAAAGGAGAUUGUGACAUAUCACUGCAUUCAAUACCUAGAUGAUUGUGUCUAGGGCCCCGGGGCUGGGGGAGAAGCAGCAUCCAAGAUGCGCCAUGAGGGGGCUUCACCUGGAUGGAGACCAGCUCUCCCCAUGUCCUGGUGCCCUGCCCAGCAGUGCAACAGAACUGGGGACAGAGAUGCAGGACAAUACCAGCACUUCAGGAACCAUGGCAUUGUGAAGACUGUUUCUCUAGCUGUGCAGCUGCAAGGUCACUAGACAGAUCAACUCAAGUCAUAAAACAUGUUUUUCCUUGAAAAGUAAGAAAUGAUGUAAUGCAUGUUUCAAUUAAUUGAAUAACUGUCUUUGUUUCUCACUUCUGUAAUAUGCUUCCCCCUGCACAGAUCUCCCCCUGCCCUACAAAAUGCUUAAAAGGUAACGUAGCUCUUUGUUCAGGGCUCAGUCCUUUGGAUGUAAAUCUGACUGGGUCGGUGCACCUAAAUAAUAAAUAUCCUCCUCAAUCCCUCAGUAUAUCUGAUUCCUUAAAAUAUCCCACUACAGAACUCCUGAUCUCAGGUGAUCUGCCUGCCUCAACCUCCCAAAGUGCUGGGAUUACAGGCAUGAGCCACUGCAUGCGGCCUAAAAAAUAAUUUCUUUAAAAUGGUAUACUCUGCAUCAACAUUGACACAAAAGCUUCUGUUAAACUCUGACACCCACUCAGAUGUCACCUCCCCUAUAAAACCCUCCUUGAUUUCCCUCACUGCUAUCUCAGGGGGAGAAUUAAUCACUACUACCAUUUGGCUGCCUCAAUACCUUAUAUCUUUUUAUGAACAAGCAUUAUUCUCCAGAAUAAAUUAAUAAUUUAUGCAUCUAUCCACACUAAUGGACUAUAAAUGGGGCAGAUAUGUUGAACCCUACUCAUCUAUG